UAUAUAUAUAUAUAUAUAUAUUGGAAAUUUUUGGAGUUGGCGAUGCAAAGCUGGACCCUAGGAAUGAAGACUUGUAACUGGUCGAAGUCUUACAAAAAAUUAAUAUAUCGUGAGCCCCAAGAGUGCAAGAGAGCGGAUUUCAAUGUAUAAUAAUGAUCCUUAAUGAUUUUUCCCUUGUUCUCUCUCUUUUCCCGCGGAAACAGGUGCAUAACACAUACGCAAUACUAGUUAAUUUUCAUUAGAAGCUUUCUUAACAGGUUAAUCCUUUACAAGCUAAAGCCAGGGCUCUUUCAGCCACACUAUGAAGAUGCUAUGACGAAACAUUAAUCCACUGAUGCAGUUAUUUUAAUUGAAGUUUAUUUCUCUAUCGUGUUUAGUUCUGUUUCAUGUGUUAGUCAAAAUAUCUAAGUCAUUAAGCAUAGUGUUUAAUUCUGUUUGGAGUCUUUUAAGUAUCAGUUGAAAAUAUCUAGUAUGGUGCUAACGAGUUUUUCUUGAAGAAAUAGUUAGUCAAAAAUAUCUGAUGUGGUAUUACCGAGUCUUCUUUGGAAAUAAGAGUCAAUCAAAGUCUUUAAUCUUUCAAAUUUGAGUCAUUUAACAAGUCUUCUGUCAAAAGUUAAGUUUNNN
rnacentral:lncRNA from 1 species